rnacentral:rRNA from 1 species
GACGAACGCUGGCGGCGUGCCUAAUACAUGCAAGUUGAGCGAUGAAGAUUGGUGCUUGCACCAAUUUGAAGAGCAGCGAACGGGUGAGUAACGCGUGGGGAAUCUGCCUUUGAGCGGGGGACAACAUUUGGAAACGAAUGCUAAUACCGCAUAACAACUUUAAACAUAAGUUUUAAGUUUGAAAGAUGCAAUUGCAUCACUCAAAGAUGAUCCCGCGUUGUAUUAGCUAGUUGGUGAGGUAAAGGCUCACCAAGGCGAUGAUACAUAGCCGACCUGAGAGGGUGAUCGGCCACAUUGGGACUGAGACGCGGCCCAAACUCCUACGGGAGGCAGCAGUAGGGAAUCUUCGGCAAUGGACGAAAGUCUGACCGAGCAACGCCGCGUGAGGGAAGAAGGUUGUCGGAUCGUAAAACUCGGUUGGUAGAGAAGAACGUUGGUGAGAGUGGAAAGCUCAUCAAGUGACGGUAACUACCCAGAAAGGGACGGCUAACUACGUG